GGCUCGUUGGUCUAAGGGAAUGAUUCUAGCUUUGGGUGUGAGAGGUCCCGGUUCAAUACUCGGAUGAGCCC